rnacentral:tRNA from 1 species
UGUAGGGUAGCUGAACAGGUACAGCGCUCGAUUGUUAAUCGAGAGGAUGUGGGUUCGAUCCCCACCCCUACAGCCA